GUGGGGGAUAUUGCACAAUGGGGGAAACCCUGAUGCAGCGACGCCGCGUGAAGGAAGACGUACUUCGGUAUGUAAACUUCUAUCAGCAGGGAAGAAGAUGACGGUACCUGACUAAGAAGCCCCGGCUAACUACGUGCCAGCAGCCGCGGUAAUACGUAGGGGGCAAGCGUUAUCCGGAUUUACUGGAUGUAAAGGGAGCGUAGACGGUGAAGCAAGUCUGCUGUGAAAACCCGGGGCUCAACUCCGGGAUUGCAUUGGAAACUGUUUUACUUGAGUGCUGGAGGGGCAAGCGGAAUUCCUGGUGUAGCGGUGAAAUGCGUAGAUAUCAGGAAGAACACCGGUGGCGAAGGCGGCUUGCUGGACAGUAACUGACGUUGAGGCUCGAAAGCGUGGGGAGCAAACAGGAUUAGAAACUCGAGUAGUCC
rnacentral:rRNA from 1 species